GAUGAACGCUGGCGGCGUGCUUAACACAUGCAAGUCGAGCGGGCAAUUUAUCUAGCACUGAUUACUUCAAAUGGAAAUCAUAAGUGUAAUCAUGAAUUUCUACCUUUAAUAAAGAAAAAAGAAAUUCAUGUACGCAAAUAGUGAUAACACAUUUUAGUGGAGUGAUGAGUGCUGGAUAAAUUGCUAGCGGCGGACGGGUGCGUAACACGUGGGUAACCUGCCCCUAUCACUGGGAUAACACACUGAAAAGUGUGCUAAUACCAGAUAAUAUAAGCUUUUGGCAUCAUUAGCUUAUCAAAGAAUUUCGGAUAGGGAUGGGCCCGCGUCUGAUUAGCUAGUUGGUGAGGUAACGGCUCACCAAGGCAACGAUCAGUAGCCGACCUGAGAGGGUGAUCGGCCACACUGGAACUGAGACACGGUCCAGACUCCUACGGGAGGCAGCAGUGGGGAAUAUUGCACAAUGGGCGAAA
rnacentral:rRNA from 1 species